rnacentral:rRNA from 1 species
GACGAACGCUGGCGGCGUGCUUAACACAUGCAAGUCGAACGGAAAGGCCCUGCUUUUGUGGGGUGCUCGAGUGGCGAACGGGUGAGUAACACGUGAGUAACCUGCCCUUGACUUUGGGAUAACUUUAGGAAACUGGGGCUAAUACCGGAUAGGAGCUCCUGCUGCAGGGUGGGGGUUGGAAAGUUUCGGCGGAUGGGGAGGGACUCGCGGCUUAUCAGCUUGUUGGUGGGGUAGUGUCUUACCAAGGCUUUGACGGGUAGCCGGCCUGAGCGGGUGACCGGCCACAUUGGGACUGAGAUACGGCCCAGACUCCUACGGGAGGCAGCAGUGGGGAAUAUUGCACAAUGAGCGGAAGCCUGAUGCAGCAACGCCGCGUGCGGGAUGACGGCCUUCGGGGUGUAAACCGCUUUCGCCUGUGACGAAGCGUGAGUGACGGUAAUGGGUAAAGAAGCACCGGCUAACUACGUG